rnacentral:rRNA from 1 species
UACGUAGGGUGCAAGCGUUGUCCGGAAUUAUUGGGCGUAAAGAGCUCGUAGGCGGUUUGUCGCGUCGGGAGUGAAAACACCAGGCUUAACUUGGUGCUUGCUUUCGAUACGGGCAGACUUGAGGCAUGCAGGGGAGAACGGAAUUCCUGGUGUAGCGGUGAAAUGCGCAGAUAUCAGGAGGAACACCGGUGGCGAAGGCGGUUCUCUGGGCAUGUUCUGACGCUGAGGAGCGAAAGUGUGGGGAGCGAACAGG